CCUUCAGGUAUUUUGGGGCUGCAGAGGAGUUGGGCUCUUUGUACCUUGGGAUGAAAUUUGAAGCUGCUUCAAAUCGUGUUGGGCUGCUUUGUGUAAGCUUUCCUCUUUGUUCAGUGCAACACAAGGUUAAGGGAGACUGACUGCUAAACCACCUCGGUGCAACCUCUGUAUUUUUCUUCUGUUACAAAGACCUGUUUCCUAAGCGUUCCCUGAAGUUGAAGCCCCUAUGGAAGCAAAUACAGCUGUUUGAGACAGGACAGAGAAGGAAUUACAGCCAUGGGUGAUAAAGAGUUUGCUUGUGGUCCAUUUAAAAUCAGAUUACGACUGAUUGGUUCCUGCAUUCAAACUGCUUUGAACAACGCUCCAUCCAUGGGCAUAUAAAACAAAACUGAGGCGACUGGAAAGCCUGAGGGAUCAAUUCCAAAUAUCACUCUGUAAUAAAAAAUGUAUUUCCUUAAUUUUUUUAUUGAUUCAGCACUCAUUCUCCUGUAAUGUUGCCGUGGUAAUAUUAAAACUCAGUGACUGACAUUGGCAUUCCACAGAAGUAAUUUAAAUACCAGUACCAGGGAAGAAAGCAGGCUUUGCUUUUGGAACAAUUUUGCUCAAACUAGCACAGAGGAACUCCCUCAGAUGGAGGGAAUAGACUGGGCAUUUUUUCCUUUGAAAUAUGCAAUCUGUCUUUCUUGCAGCCCUGUACCACGCCUGUGAAGCCAACAGGGCACCUGCUGUUGGCACUGCUGGGUGCAGCCUUUGAAAGCAGGUUAUGCAUUUUUGGGUUGUAGAUGGGAACAGGUGAUUUGUGCAGGGCACAGAGCUGCUGUCUGUUCAAACAAGGCCCAGCCUAUUCUUCAAGUAACCCAUGAUACAAAGCAAGUGAAAAGAACGUUCCUGUGAAAUUGAAGACAUCUGGCUAAUUAAUAGUCUCAAAAGGUGUGCAUCUCACAGGUGAGAAUUUCAAAGGACCUCAUGAGGUUUGGAUUCACAGACCCAGUCAGUGAAGUCAGAGCUGGACAUGAAUCCUUAAAAAUUCCUGAGAGUCCUUGCUUGCCCAUGGAAAAUAGGAUGGAGAUCUUGUUACAGGCUGUGAACCUCCAAGGUGUGCAACACUGUGCUGGUGAGAGGGGUUUCUCAGUCUCUCACCCUGCCCACGAGGUGCUUGCUGGGGGGAGAGCAAGGUAUUCCCAGCACUCCAGCUUGGGUUUCUCCUUCCUUUGGACAACUAGAGGAGACUGCUAAAAAUGAAAUAAGACUUGAAUGUAGAUAUAUGAGAGCUCCAGAGGCAGCUGGAUGGUUUCUCUGUCAAGACAAGUUAGUUACCAAUCUGCUCUUAUAAGUGUCCCAGAACCAUAAAAAUGAUGUGUCGAGUCUGUUUCUGGACUGGGAAAAUUUUAAUGGAAAUAGUCUCCUGCAGGAAGUCCCCAAGGUCUGGCAGAGACAAUAUUCCCUGUUGGGUUAGGCACAAAUCUCCAAGAUGCUCAUAGUCCACAACUUGGAAACAAAAACACAGGGAAAAGUUUGAUCAAAACUGUCCAGCUGAGAUGUGCCAACCAGAAUGAUUCACAGAAAGAAAACUGAUUAAUGAGCAAGUCUGAAAUAACCCAAACCCAUUCGGUGGCAGUUUGUGAAAGAGGACUGUGACAAAGUGUUUGCUGUACUGGGUGCUAGGAGCAAAGCCAAAGGCCUUCUCCCUUGGCUCAGCCUGAUCAAAAAGCAAAUCCAACCUACCCCAGCCAACAAGAAGCUGAUGUCUGGUCCAAAGUCAACGUUUCUGCACUCAAGAGGGGAAGUAACACCUGCUUUGAUGCUAAAUGGCUGUUUCAUUGCUCUGCAGACUUGCUUGUUGUUGUUAUCAGAUGCCAAUUAAGAGUGGGUAGAAGAUGGCUCAGACCUGGACUGGAGUGGCAUGAGCACCCUGAGCUGUGCAGGAACAUGGGCAUUUUUGCCUUGGUUCAGGACAUGUGGGAGUGAGCAGUGCCACACACUCAGCUGACAGUGGGGUUCCACCACACCAGGGAAGUCUCUCACCCUGGGCCCAGCGAGGGGUUUUGCACUAGGACGGGAGAAAGCAGCCCUGCCAUUCCCACGCAUUUCUGUCCUGUGUGCUGGGAGGGAGCUGGAGUCCCAGGGGACGCCUCUGCCCGUGGGGCCACAUCUGAGCCGGCAACUUGGGAAGCAGCUUGGGGCUGCCUGCGUCCUGUGCUUGAAGUUCCAGAUGAAUCAGUUUUGAGGUUUCCAUUCCUGCCCCGUGUGAUAUCCGCAAUAUUUAAGAUAUGAGUGCAGAAGAUGAGAACUGCAAUCCCAAGUCAUUGAAAAAAAAUAAGUGGAAAUCCAUGGAAAGGAGCUGUGGAAUUUGGACUGUUAAGGUGUAAGUGUGACACAAGUAGCUUGCAAGUGAUUGAAGAGCCCCACGAGUGAACUAAGGUGUUGGCUUGGUACCUCUGACCGAAUUACCAACAUCCUCUGGCCUUUUUCUGUGGCCUGAACUGCAGCUUUUGCCUGCUGGAGGCCUGCAGGAAAUUUUAAGAAGCAGAUUUUGCAACAGAAGCUUGCAACAAAGCACUGGCUCCUGGAGUACAUGGUGGAUCUUCCUGUGGGAAAGAGAUGGUGCCUCCUCCUCUGCCCCCUCCAGACACGCAGGCGGAAGAUCCUUCAUUCACUGGUGCACAAUGCAGUAAUUGAGAGGGAGUUUCCUGGAGCUGAGUGCUGCCUGCCCGGGGUCAGCAGCUGCUCUUCCAUCUUGCCUUUCUUUGCCAUCCCGUGUGAACCCCCAGCAUGGAGGUGGAGGGAGUGCUCCGAGCUGAUGAGUCUCCUUGUUGCUGAGAGACUUCUGGAAGGGCAACACUCAUCAGCUUGUUGGGGGUGGAUAACGAACUGUGAGUUAAGGCACUUUCAAAGUACUUCUACUUCUCUGCUUUAACUACAAACAGGGAAAAUAUCCUGAGAUAUGGAGUAUUCUGGUUGCUCUUGGACCAUGGAGGUAUUCAGGCCAUGCAAAGUGUGGCAGAGUCCAGCGUCUGCUGGGUCCUGUCUCUGUUCUCCAGUCACACAGAGACGGGCAGAGACCAUUAACAGGUCAAUGUGGUGCUCCUCAGAAGCUGUGUGGAGCCCAGCCUUACUGAACUUUGGUAGAUGAAGCGUAUCUGCUGAGUUAUAGUCCUACUAGAGAGAGAUUCAUCGCUCCUGCUAGGAGAUAAUGCAUUUCAGGGUGUUUUCUGGAGUGUCACACAUCUCUCCUGGGAGAGUGGAGUCACUCAUCCCAAGCACGCUGCACUUUGUGCCUCACCCUCCCCAAAUAAUUCUUCGGUCCAUUUAACAUCAAAAAAAAAAAAAAAAAAAAAUCAUGCCUGUGAGCCCUUUGCAGGAAGCAGCACCGGAUUUGUGCUUUGUGCGGCCUCAUCCUGCCCAGGAGCACUUUCCUGGCUGGUAGGAAGCCCCUUGGUCAGUGCAGCUUCUUCUCCCUCCUUCACCCCCAUGGUGUUUUAGCAGUUUGGGAGGGGAGGAGCAGUUUCCAGAUGAACAGUGGGGCUGCACUGGCUUCCUUUCUGCUCUGGUCCAGGGCAGCACAGAGCUCAGCACGGAGCUCAGCAUGGAGCUCAGCUGCACUUUGCAGUGAAGCUCUCCCUUGUCCUGCACAGUCGCUUGCUGUACAUUAGUGGGACGUGGUGGAAAAAUUAUGUACGAUUUCUCUGCCUUCAGAUGGAGCAGAAAUACCAUUCUGUCAGAGAAGUGGGCUUCAACAGCGCUGAAUGGCUCAAAGAAUGGCUCCUAUCAAGGCUGAUAAUCUUCCCUGGUGAUAACGCAGUGGAUUAUACAGUGAUUGGAUGUUGAGAGUAGCUGACCUUAAUCUCCCUUAACUUUGGUUUUCUCUCCCAUCUGAUAAUAAUGCAGAAAGUACAACAAGUGCCAUAGAAGAUUACACACAUCCUGCCACACUUUGCAGAUGGCUGAUACAAAAAUCAGAGACAAUGCUAAAAUAAUUAAAAAGCCCACAAAAAAAUGAAACACUGCACUCAGCUCCUUUUGUCAGGCUGUGGCUAAGGAAACAGCCAGCCAGCCUGAAAUGGACAAUAUAAAUGUAAGUAGAUCUUAUUAAUAUUCUGUGUGGCUGUUAAAUCAUCCUCAGCCGUUGCUUCCAGCUUAGCGUCACCGCUAAUGGUGAAGAGGGGAAGAGAUUAGUUUAGGCUGCUUUGAGACAUCACAGAUAUACGUGGGAGGCAUCCUCUGUUUCUUGAACUCGUAUUUCACUGACCUGCUAUGUGACGAGUGGAGUGCCAAAAAUACAGAAGAGUUGGCACAUAAAAUCCAUGUCUACUCCAUCUACUCUGUCAAGGCUAAAAAAAAAAGUCCUGAAUGAGCCUUGGAGAGUCAACAAAUCACUAAAAUAGCAGCUAAAAGAGGAAGUUCAGCACGAGUUCAAGUCAUUAAAAUUCCCUCUAAUGUAUGCUCUCACAGACCAGUGGGUUGAGCGUGAUCCCGGGGAGUGGAAGGAUGUGUGUGAACUUGUGUGCAGGGGGAAAAUGGCCAAGGUUGAUGUUGCUGACCUUCAGCGUGAAAGCCUGAUCACUCCUGUCGUUUGAGAUGGCUCUGUGGGAAGAAAAGGUCAGUGGAGCAGCUCUGAGAUGAAAAUGGGGAGAAAUGAUCUUUUGCAUGGCUUUCUUGGGCAAAUCCCCACCUGUGUGCAGAGCGUGGCACAUUUAUGUCUCGGACUUUUGCUGG